rnacentral:rRNA from 1 species
GACGAACGCUGGCGGCGUGCCUAAUACAUGCAAGUAGAACGCUGAAGGAGGAGCUUGCUUCUCUGGAUGAGUUGCGGACGGGUGAGUAACGCGUAGGUAACCUGCCUGGUAGCGGGGGAUAACUAUUGGAAACGAUAGCUAAUACCGCAUAAGAGUAGAUGUUGCAUGACAUUUGCCUAAAAGGUGCAAUUGCAUCACUACCAGAUGGACCUGCGUUGUAUUAGCUAGUUGGUGGGGUAACGGCUCACCAAGGCGACGAUACAUAGCCGACCUGAGAGGGGGAUCGGCCAACAUGGGACUGAGACACGGCCCAGACUCCUACGGGAGGCAGCAGUAGGGGAUCUUUGGCAAUGGACGGAAGUCUGACCGAGCAACGCCGCGGGAGUGAAGAAGGUUUUCGGAUCGUAAAGCUCGGGUGGAAGGGAAGAACGAGUGUGAGAGUGGAAAGUUCACACUGUGACGGUAUCUGACCAGAAAGAGACGGCUAACUACGUG